rnacentral:lncRNA from 10 species
AAAAUAAUUAUGAAAUACCUACUUCCUGUCGAAAGUUCUCACCUUGAUGAUUUUAUAAAUACCUGUGCAAUCAUUUAAGGAUGCUGUUAUAACUUGCUAUCACAGGAUUCAGGUCCAAGAACCCUCUCUUAGGAUCUGCACUGGGACCUACCCCUUUUUGGCAACAUGUUCUUGGCAACCACGAAGGGACUAUCCUGAGGAGAUCCCUGACCCAAAGGAAAUAGACUGCAGAACCAAUUGGCUGACUUUGGCGGGUCAAAGAAUAUGUGAGAUUCCCCACACAUUUAUGCCACAGGAGGAGAAAAGCCUGCCUAGGGGUGUUUUAACUUAUGCCCAGAAGUACCACCUGGAAGAGGCAACGAGACUUUAUUCAUAAGAAUCUAAGUGGAGCAUUCUCCCAGACAACCAGCGGCGGAGCAAGGAGGGGCUGGCCAAACAGUGACGUUGACUGGUGCAUGAGACGAACAGAGGCUCACAGAAGAGCCUCUGAAGAGCCCACAAAAAAUGUCCAUAAGGUAAAAGAGUCAGCUUUGAACUUAUUUUUCAGUAGGCAACAGAAGCUUCACAGAAGAGAGCUUGAAGCUCUCUUGAAGCAGCAUCAUGGUUCAAGCAAUACCUUCUCGGUCACACUGUGCCCCUUCCCUUUCCAGUGCUCCAACUUCAGUGAGGGAGAUAGAGGGUGAGAAAAAAGACAAGAAGACAUCCUUUCCCGCUUAAAUCAAGUUCUGAGCUCUGAUCAUCCUCUGGGACUAGACAGCCUAAUUUCUGAAGUUAGACUGUCUGUGAUUUAAAGAGAUUGCAGGACUUUCUAGACUGAUCAGAGAAGUCACAGCCCCUGCCCAUUUUCCACCUAGGGUCAUAGAAAGACUAUGUCUAGUAUGCACAUUUUAA